CGCCGCCCCCGCCGGGACCGCGGCCCGGGGGCCGGCCAGGGAUGGGCAGGCGGGCGAGCACCUCUGCACAGGGCCGCCGCUUACCUGGAGGGCAACACCGUGCCUGGGCGACCUGUUGUCUGCAGGGCAGCGCCUUAGCGAGCCAAGUGCCUCUGCUCCCCUCGGGGCAGCAGGGCAUCGCGCAACUGCUAAUCCGGAAGAAACAGGUGGAGAGGAAAGGCAGGAGGUGGGAAGAAAAUAGAAGAGAGAAACUAAACAUAGUUCUACUAGUCAACAAAUUCCAAUGCACCAAAAAUCAGCCAAGCAAUUACACGCAGAUCCAGAGCUGAAUGAGAAGCAUUCUCAGCUGUGCCUGCAUGGAUUUGAAGAGAUGAAGGAAGUGAGCCUGACCUCUGGGAUCAGAUUUUUCUCCACAUGUUAACUUUUAGUCAGAUAGGAGACAACACUCCAGCAUUACUCAUUCACUACUGCAAUGUAUUGACGGUAAUUAUUCUGACAAAUAUCCUGUAAGAAGGGAAGAUUAAGCAUAUGUAAAAAAUAAAAAAUAAAAAGCUCUCA
rnacentral:lncRNA from 1 species